UUGCGGGUGCUUACACAUGCAGUCGAACGGGAUCCAUCAGGCUUUGCUUGGUGGUGAGAGUGGCGAACGGGUGAGUAAUGCGUGACCGACCUGCCCCAUACACCGGAAUAGCUCCUGGAAACGGGUGGUAAUGCCGGAUGCUCCGACUCCUCGCAUGGGGUGUCGGGAAAGAUUUCAUCGGUAUGGGAUGGGGUCGCGUCCUAUCAGGUAGUCGGCGGGGUAACGGCCCACCGAGCCUACGACGGGUAGCCGGCCUGAGAGGGCGACCGGCCACAUUGGGACUGAGAUACGGCCCAGACUCCUACGGGAGGCAGCAGUGGGGAAUAUUGCACAAUGGGCGCAAGCCUGAUGCAGCGACGCCGCGUGCGGGAUGACGGCCUUCGGGUUGUAAACCGCUUUUGAUCGGGAGCAAGCCUUCGGGUGAGUGUACCUUUCGAAUAAGCACCGGCUAACUACGUGCCAGCAGCCGCGGUAAUACGUAGGGUGCAAGCGUUAUCCGGAAUUAUUGGGCGUAAAGGGCUCGUAGGCGGUUCGUCGCGUCCGGUGUGAAAGUCCAUCGCUUAACGGUGGAUCUGCGCCGGGUACGGGCGGGCUGGAGUGCGGUAGGGGAGACUGGAAUUCCCGGUGUAACGGUGGAAUGUGUAGAUAUCGGGAAGAACACCAAUGGCGAAGGCAGGUCUCUGGGCCGUUACUGACGCUGAGGAGCGAAAGCGUGGGGAGCGAACAGGAUUAGAUACCCUGGUAGUCCACGCCGUAAACGGUGGAUGCUGGAUGUGGGGCCCGUUCCACGGGUUCCGUGUCGGAGCUAACGCGUUAAGCAUCCCGCCUGGGGAGUACGGCCGCAAGGCUAAAACUCAAAGAAAUUGACGGGGGCCCGCACAAGCGGCGGAGCAUGCGGAUUAAUUCGAUGCAACGCGAAGAACCUUACCUGGGCUUGACAUGUUCCCGACAGCCGUAGAGAUAUGGCCUCCCUUCGGGGCGGGUUCACAGGUGGUGCAUGGUCGUCGUCAGCUCGUGUCGUGAGAUGUUGGGUUAAGUCCCGCAACGAGCGCAACCCUCGCCCUGUGUUGCCAGCACGUCAUGGUGGGAACUCACGGGGGACCGCCGGGGUCAACUCGGAGGAAGGUGGGGAUGACGUCAGAUCAUCAUGCCCCUUACGUCCAGGGCUUCACGCAUGCUACAAUGGCCGGUACAACGGGAUGCGACACGGCGACGUGGAGCGGAUCCCUGAAAACCGGUCUCAGUUCGGAUUGGAGUCUGCAACCCGACUCCAUGAAGGCGGAGUCGCUAGUAAUCGCGGAUCAGCAACGCCGCGGUGAAUGCGUUCCCGGGCCUUGUACACACCGCCCGUCAAGUCAUGAAAGUGGGUAGCACCCGAAGCCGGUGGCUCUAACCCUUUGUGGAUGGAGCCGUCUAAG
rnacentral:rRNA from 1 species